GAAGUUCUGCAUCUCCUCCAAAAAUCUCCGUCUGAGAUUAGGCUGUCAAUCUGCAGACCUUCACAGGAUGAACAUACAGAUAUUGAGAUCUCUCUGGUAACAUCCUUUCUCUAUAUGGUUGCAAACAACUCUAAAACUGACAUGUUAUUUUUCAAACUCACAUCCUUUUUUGACAGGGUCAUGACACACUUCCAACCCGUGCACUGAGAUCCAGGUCUCUAGACCUGCAGACAAGGACUGUUGCCCCAGACUUUAGUGAACUCCUCAAGAAGCGGGCAAUAGAGGUGGAUCUAAAGAAAAAAGUUUCCCCAGAGAAAACCCAGGAGAUCCCAUUGACCCAACAGAAACCAGAUACUGAGCUGGUGGAUACGACUAUAUCAGCCCCUCCACCCCUACCUCCACGCCCAUCCUCAGGUGAAGCUGGAGAACCUAAACCUCAUGCCAUAAUGGGGGAGGGGCAUGAGAGCAAAGCCCCACCCCCAACACCAAGCGAUGUUAAAGUGACAACAGCCAUCCCAGCACCAACACCAGCAGCCCCUGAAACAGCAAUUGCAACCCAUCAGCAAGAGUCAAAAAAUGAUACCAUCUCAACCAACCUUGUCUCAGCUUGUACCAGUCACACAACUGAAGAUGUGGAAAAGAGCAUGACAAGUUUCACAGCUAAUGGACUGACCGUCAUAGCCGAUGAGGAAUACUUGACCAUCACCACCACAGCUCCCUCUCCUCCAAGCAGCAGCAUUGCUGUCUCCAAUGAACCGCCACCACCAUCAGCCCUUUCUCCAUCACUGUUAAGCACACCUCCACCCUACCAGCAAGCAACUCAAGUGUCAUCUCCAGUGAAACCUCCUGCCCAGUUUACCGUCCCCUUAGCCAGAAACAACAACGGCUGGGACGAUGAUGAUGAAGAGGAGGAUGAUGAAGAUCCCCAAAGGGUAAAGUCUGAUUGCAUUUGCCUACAGAUGUACAAACCAUUAGAUAAGCAUAAAUUUCAGUGCUGAUUUAAGCUCCAAACUUUGGAAUUCACUACCUGCUUAAUUUAUUGAAAUUCUUUCCUAAAACAUUUUUUUUUUUUUUUAUGAAUGUGUUUCUUUUUUUCUGUGUAAGUGCCAUUGAGAAGCUUGCUUUAUAAAACAAAGCACUAAAGUGUAUUAAAUUAUUAUUAUUAUUAUUAUUAUUAUUAUUAUUAUUAUUAUUAUUAUUAUUAUUAUUAUUAUUAUUAUUGUUAUUAUUAUUAUUAUUUAAUGCUGGUGGACUAGCAUAGCAGCCUUGUUGUUCAGCAUCUCCUUUCUUCUUCCUUUAGGACAUGUUGAAGGAGUUUGAACUGACUGUCUCACUGACCAAAUCAUGGUGUGGCAGUUUUGGUUUUACAAUAACCAGGAGUAAACUGGACAACUGCUUUUAUGUCCAGGAGGUCCUGGAUAAUCCAGCCAAAGCAGAUGGAAGGCUUAGGGCAGGAGACAGGCUUGUCAUGGUACCGCUUUUCCCACCAUUAGAAACACAAUCACAGUUAUGCAGUAAUAAGCCUCCCUUUCUGAAGAUUUCAGAUUGGAUUGUCAGUGAUUUGAAUUGCCAUUAUCUCCAUUUCAGGUAAGCGGUCACAAUGUGACCAAUGUGACAGAUGACGUGGCUAUUAGCAUCCUUAGGU
ensembl:lncRNA